GUAGGGAAUAUUGGGCAAUGGAGGCAACUCUGACCCAGCCAUGCCGCGUGCAGGAUGACGGCCCUCUGGGUUGUAAACUGCUUUUAACCGGGAAGAAACCCCAGGACGUGUCCUGGGUUGACGGUACCGGAGGAAUAAGCACCGGCUAACUUCGUGCCAGCAGCCGCGGUAAUACGAAGGGUGCAAGCGUUAUCCGGAUUCAUUGGGUUUAAAGGGUGCGUAGGCGGAGCGUUAAGUCAGUGGUGAAAUCCUGCAGCUUAACUGUAGACUUGCCAUUGAUACUGGCGCUCUUGAGUGCGCUUGAAGUGGGCGGAAUGUGCCGUGUAGCGGUGAAAUGCUUAGAUAUGGCACAGAACACCAAUUGCGAAGGCAGCUCACUAAGGCGAUACUGACGCUGAGGCACGAAAGCGUGGGGAUCGAACAGGAUUAGAAACCCGUGUAGUCC
rnacentral:rRNA from 1 species